rnacentral:rRNA from 1 species
UACAGAGGCCUCGAGCGUUAGGCGGAAUCACUGGGCUUAAAGCGUGUGUAGGCGGACUUCUAAGUACCUUGUGAAAUCCCACGGCUUACCCGUGGAACUGCUGGGUAUACUGGUUGUCUUGAGCCACUUAGGGGCUACCGGAACAAAUGGUGGAGCGGUGAAAUGCGUAGAUAUCAUUUGGAACGCCAACGGUGAAAACAGGUAGCUGGGAGUGUGCUGACGCUGAGACACGAAAGCCAGGGGAGCGAACGGG